rnacentral:rRNA from 1 species
GAUGAACGCUGGCGGCGUGCCUAAUACAUGCAAGUCGAGCGAACAGACGAGGAGUUUGCUCCUCUGACGUUAGCGGCGGACGGGAGAGUACCAUGUGGAUAACCUACCUCUCAGACUGGGAUAACUUCGGGAAACCGGAGCUACUACCGGAUAAUAUAUUGAACCGCAUGGUUCAAUAGUUAAAGACGCUUUUGCUGUCACUUAUAGAUGGAUCCGCGCCGCAUUAGCUAGUUGGUAAGGUAACGGCUUACCAAGGCAACGAUGCGUAACCGACCUCAGAGGGUGGUUGGCCAGCCGGGAUGUGAGACAGGGUAGAGACACUGGCGGUGGGACGCAGUAGAGAAUCUUACGCGAUGGGGCAGUGCGGAAUAGAGCAACAUGGGGGGAGGGAUGAAGGAGUUCGGCUCGGAAAGCUAUGUAGUUAGGAAAGAUCAAAUGUGUAAGUAACUGUGCAGGUCUUGACGGUACCGAGAGAAAAAGCCACGGCUAACUACGUG